GUCAUUCAUUGGUAUUACUAUUUUGUCCCAUUCGGGCUGAUUCUACUCUUUUUCUACACACAGCAGUGCAACAUCUGUCAGUACUUCUGGUGCCU
rnacentral:ncRNA from 1 species